rnacentral:tRNA from 1 species
GCGUCCGUUGUCUAGUGGUAUGAUUCCUGCCUGCCACGCAGGGGGCCCGGGUUCGAUCCCCGGCGGACGCACCA